CCCGACAGCCUCUUCGUGGCUUUUUCCAGUUGGUGGAUUGGAACUUGUGUGCUCAGUUGGCGAGAAGGACAGUGAGUUUGAAUUCUUUGGACUGGCAGGUGGGGGUCAGAGGGGAUCUGACGAUGGAGCAGGGGAGGAGAUGUUACCUAACUACGAACGUUCUGGAAAUUCGCGUCUCUUUUAUACAAACUAUUCUCUCUCUGCUGCAAGGCACCAAACAAGGCUCAGCCUGGGCGGGACCCUGGGCUCCCCAGAGGCCAGGGGAGGGACUGAGCUGUGGGAUCGAGUUCCUGCCCUCCGUCUUCGGCAAGAACAGCUGCCAGGAAGACAGAGGAGCAAAACGAAAACACGUCCCCAGGCUGCAGGAGACUUACGAGCACCUCUUUUAUAAACAGAGGACUGAUUCUCUGAGCCCAGCUUCGGUAGUGUUGGCUUCGAAGACUGAAAUUUUCCAAAUUUUUCUGGGGUUGCUACGUCAUGGCUAUAAAUGUUCUAAAGUGCAGCCUUCAUUAGAGCUAUGAAUCAGUCCGACUGUUUUUGAACAUACCGAUCAUCUAUUUUUGAUGCGGAUGGCAAAUGGCUAAAAUCCGGUAGUAACAGACAUCCGAUGGAGUCUGGGAGUGUGUGUGUGUGUGUGUGUGUGUGUGUGUGUGUGUGUGUAUAAUAUGUGCAUUAGAGCUUGAUGGCGUGGGGGGGUGGGUGGGGAGUGAGGAGGCUUUGAGACAAGACCACCAGCUAGACUCAGUCUUUAAAGACAGCAGAGGAGUUUAUAUGAUGAUUGCGUGUACAUGCAUGUGUGUAAGUUCACACACACACACACACACACACACACACACACCCCUCUAGUGACUUGUUGGCUUGCUUGUUGUCAUACUAACUCUACCCUCAGUGGUGUGGUCCUCCCCACAGCUGAUCUUAGAAUAACUGAGCACGUGAGACUUGCACUUGAGUUGUUGUUUAUGAGGACACAGGUGCCACAUUCAUUGCCCCCUGGUUUUCACCCAUACUUAUCCUGUUGUCUUCUUGACGUCCUCAUGAAUUCACACCUCGAGAGGAGAGUGGACUCCAGAGCGUGGUGUUUAAACCAGAGGGCCAACCUGAACAGUUGUCCUUAACCGUUGGAAUUUAACAAGAGAAAGAAUUUUCAAUGAAAAAGCUGAGAACUCUGACGCCACUUAAGAGAAUGUGGAAGCUGACACUUUGAUUCUUCCCAUAAAUUUACCUUUCUCAAUUAAUGCCUUGGGGAAAUGGAAAUUACUGUAAUUGGGGGUAAUGGAUACAGCAAAGUGUGCAAAUUUGACCCGAUUUAUAAACCAAGGUUGAUGGUGAUUAUGAUUUAAAUUUUUUUUCUCACUCUCUGCAUUCCCUGAGUAAGGGCAGUGAGUUGCUCUUGGCUUUGAUAUUUAAUAUUGGGCCGAUCUUUGCAGUCCAUUUUCCUCCCUUCUACCCCCCCACGCGUACGCACAUGCAUACCCACACACAGGCACGUGUGCAUGUGCACGCACACACUUUUUCUUCUUCGUCUUCAGGCACACUUAAAGGUCUGGAAUGAGGUUCCAGAGUGAUACCAGUUCAAGCCCCUGCCUCAAGCAACGCUGGCCAGCCACAGAUCAAAGAUGGCUCGGACAAGGCCAUCAACAAAUGCUGUCAGCUCGAACUCGGGGACCAUCCGAAGCCAUUCGCUUUCCUCCAUUCCCACUGCUGCCUCCCGUGCAAGCCACUAUGGGCCCUUGGAUAGAGUGGAGUCCUCACUUCCACCCUGGCAGUCAGCACCUCAGCACCUAGCGUGGCCUUUCACAAAUGCCGAUCAGAUGACACCCCUCUGCUCAGACUGCUCUGUGCCUCCUGCCUCACCUAAGACAAAAUCCACACUUCCUGCCCCGGCUCACGAGGUUCACUACUGCUGCUUUGUCUCUGCUCCAGCCACGCUGGCCUUCUGCAAACCGUCAAGGUCAUCUCGUCUCGGGGUCCCUCAGCUCCUCCUUCCUCCAGGCAUCCUCCUUUCCUGGGGUGGGCUCCACAAUCCGCAGACGAUCCCUCCCACUGAUCACCCCUCAUUACUCUGGGAUAUUUUUAAACCCAUGGAUAUGACCUA